rnacentral:rRNA from 1 species
UACGAGGGGGGCAAGCGUUGUUCGGAAUUACUGGGCGUAAAGGGUGCGUAGGUUGUGACAUAAGUUGUAUGUGAAAUCCCCGGGCUUAACCUGGGAACUGCAUAUGAUACUGUGUGACUAGAGUCAAGUAGAGGGAAGUGGAAUUUCCGGUGUAGCGGUGAAAUGCGUAGAUAUCGGAAGGAACACCAGUGGCGAAGGCGGCUUCCUGGACUUAGACUGACACUGAGGCACGAAAGCGUGGGGAUCAAACAGG